GUUCUCUCCAUGUUCUCUCAGUUCCUUCAUGUUCUCUCUCAACCUUGCGUGCAACCUCUCAGCGACGGCCCUCCGAGAACUCUCAUCCUCUUGCGUUUCGUGUGGCUUCUCAGCGGAGAAACAACAGAGGCUGGAGGCGUUUCAAAUGGGAUAGGAUCGAAGAAACAACGGAGGCCGGAGGCUUUUCCCUUUGCAGUUGUGAAGAAACAAGGAGCACAAUACCCGUGAGAAAUUUGAAGAGCAUUCUAUCUAUCAUUAGAACAAAUACAUGCAGCAGAGUUGAUUGGAAGUGCCACCAGAGUGUUAAAAUUACAGAUAUCUGAUAUACGUGAACGUCAAUAUGAGAAAAUGGGAAUUGGAAGCAGUUACCUUUUUAGACUUGAUGAUGGUUAUGUGGUUAGUAUAUAUUGCUGUAAUUUUUAAGUCUUAAAU